GGCUGUAGCUCAGUGGCAGAGCAUUUGCCUAGCAUGUGCAAGGCACUGGGUUCAAUCCUUAGCACCA
rnacentral:tRNA from 1 species